rnacentral:rRNA from 1 species
AACGCUAGCUACAGGCUUAACACAUGCAAGUCGAGGGGCAGCAUGGUCUUAGCUUGCUAAGGCCGAUGGCGACCGGCGCACGGGUGAGUAACACGUAUCCAACCUGCCGUCUACUCUUGGACAGCCUUCUGAAAGGAAGAUUAAUACAAGAUGGCAUCAUGAGUCCGCAUGUUCACAUGAUUAAAGGUAUUCCGGUAGACGAUGGGGAUGCGUUCCAUUAGAUAGUAGGCGGGGUAACGGCCCACCUAGUCUUCGAUGGAUAGGGGUUCUGAGAGGAAGGUCCCCCACAUUGGAACUGAGACACGGUCCAAACUCCUACGGGAGGCAGCAGUGAGGAAUAUUGGUCAAUGGGCGCAGGCCUGAACCAGCCAAGUAGCGUGAAGGAUGACUGCCCUAUGGGUUGUAAACUUCUUUUAUAAAGGAAUAAAGUGAGGCACGUGUGCCUUUUCGUAUGUACCGUAUGAAUAAGGAUCGGCUAACUCCGUGCCAGCAGCCGCGGUAAUACGGAGGAUCCGAGCGUUAUCCGGAUUUAUUGGGUUUAAAGGGAGCGUAGGCGGACGCUUAAGUCAGUUAUGAAAGUUUGCGGCUCAACCGUAAAAUUGCAGUUGAUACUGGGUGUCUUGAGUACAGUAGAGGCAGGCGGAAUUCGUGGUGUAGCGGUGAAAUGCUUAGAUAUCACGAAGAACUCCGAUUG